CUUUGAGUGACACACCUGGUGGUAGUCUUGGAUGUGCGUGUGUGAGGGGGGAAGGGGGGAGCUGGCUGGCUGGCUACUGACUCCAUCCGUGAGUGGUGCGUCGGCGGAGCUAUGAAUGGGCAGAGAGGGGUGUACUCUCACAGACACCAUAGCAGCAGUGAGAUGAGGAGUGUCAUUUACUCCACUGCACGCCUACUGUACUGAGAGGAGAAAAGAGAGGGAAGGAGUUGCACAGCCAAAGUUUGCAAGAAAAACAGAGUGAUCCAUCCUAAGUCCCCACAGCCCCGAACUUCUGAGGAAAAACUUUCAAGUCAGCCAUGGAGCAGAAGACAAAUGAGUGUCCCACCAACACCUCUCCUCAGAAACACAUGAAAAAUAGGUCUAAGUCCACAGAGGAGGUACAGCAGUCAAAGAAGGCCUUUUCCUCACAAAAAUCACUCCCAGGCAGACCAGAGCUGGAGAGAGUGAAGGAAUGUCCUGAUGGCUCUGAGACACCGUCAUCCUCCAGCGAAGAACUGAAAUGAUGAACAAAGCCAAAAAAAGAUGCC